GUAGCGCGGUAUAACGAGGGAAUGGCGUGCCUUGCUCAUAAUUGAACCGAGCACCUACAAUCCAAUCGUUCUUAAUCAUUCGAAUUCAUCUCGCCGACCAGUUCCGUUCCCCAUUAUUGCUCGUUGCCUGGCUAAGAAACAUACCCCACGCUACUUCGCUGCCAAUAACCUGGAACUGUCGUUCGAACAGAAGACAUUCGAUAAGGAUCGAAGAACCGUUGAAAGGAUAUUCAUUAUAUUCCUGAAAGUCUGGAGUCUCCGUAACAGCUUUUAAAAGGUGACAAAAUCCCCUUAGAGCAGGCUUCGAGGGUGGACCAAGUUACAAUUAAUUAAUUGACUUCGAGCCCCUGUAAUUCAUGCGGUGUAUGCACGUUUGCGUUCCGGCAUAGGAUCAUCGAUAAGAAUGGACUCCACGUUUGAACAAAAGGAGGACGUUUUAAAGGACUACCAAUCAUGUAUUACGUGACGUUCCGGGUGAACAAGUGGUGAAAUAUGAAAUCUUCCGCAUUCUCGCAGUUAUUCAAUCGGGAGAAAGGGAAUUCAAGGCGAAUUGUGAAAAUAUGGAAAUGUGCAAUCCUUCUCCUCGAAGAAUUUCCUAUUCAAUGACUGUUCCGUACAUAAUAAAGUUCGAUUUUAAUACAUAUAAGA